CCUACGGGAGGCUGCAGUGGGGAAUAUUGGACAAUGGGGGGAACCCUGAUUCAGCCAUGCCGCGUGUGUGAAGAAGGCCCUCGGGUUGUAAAGCACUUUCAGUGAGGAAGAACGCCUGGUGGUUAAUACCCAUCAGGAAAGACAUCACUCACAGAAGAAGCACCGGCUAACUCCGUGCCAGCAGCCGCGGUAAUACGGAGGGUGCGAGCGUUAAUCGGAAUUACUGGGCGUAAAGCGCGCGUAGGUGGCUUGAUAAGCCGGUUGUGAAAGCCCCGGGCUCAACCUGGGAACGGCAUCCGGAACUGUCAAGCUAGAGUGCAGGAGAGGAAGGUAGAAUUCCCGGUGUAGCGGUGAAAUGCGUAGAGAUCGGGAGGAAUACCAGUGGCGAAGGCGGCCUUCUGGACUGACACUGACACUGAGGUGCGAAAGCGUGGGUAGCAAACAGGAUUAGAUACCCGUGUAGUC
rnacentral:rRNA from 1 species